rnacentral:rRNA from 1 species
CCUACCAUGGCAAGUCGAACGAAGUUAUAUUAUAGUUUACUAUAGUAUGCUUUAGUGGCAGACNGGUGAGUAAUAUAUAGGAAUCUACUUAAUAGUAUGGAAUGAUUGUUAGAAAUGACAGCUAAUACCAUAUACUCCUUACGAGGGAAAGAUUUAUCGCUAUUAGAUGAGCCUAUAUUGGAUUAGCUAGUUGGUAAGGUAAUGGCUUACCAAGGCAGUGAUCUAUAGCUGGUUUGAGAGGAUGAUCAGCCACACUGGAAUUGAGAUACGGUCCAGACUCCUACGGGAGGCAGCAGUGGGGAAUAUUGGGCAAUGGGCAAAAGCUUGACCCAGCUAUGCCGCGUGAGUGAUUAAGGUCUUCGGAUUGUAAAGCUCUUUUAGUAGGGAAGAUAAUGACGGUACCUACAGAAAAAGUCCUGGCUAACUCCGUGCCAGCAGCCGCGGUAAUACGGAGAGGGCUAACGUUGUUCGGAAUUACUGGGCGUAAAGGGUACGUAGGCGGUUUAGUAAGUUAGAGGUGAAAUCCUGAGGCUUAACCUCAGAAUUGCUUUUAAAACUGCUAUACUAGAGGUCGAAAGAGGAUAGUGGAAUUCCUAAUAUAGAGGUAAAAUUCAUAGACAUUAGGAGGAACACCAGUGGCGAAGGCGGCUAUCUGGUUCGAUUCUGACGCUGAUGUACGAAAGCGUGGGGAGCAAACAGGAUUAGAUACCCUGGUAGUCCACGCUGUAAAUGGUGAAUGCUAAAUGUAGGAAUUUUUAUUUCUGUGUUGUAGCUAACGCGUUAAGCAUUCCGCCUGGGGACUACGAUCGCAAGAUUAAAACUCAAAGGAAUUGACGGGGACCCGCACAAGCGGUGGAGCAUGUGGUUUAAUUCGAUGCUACGCGAAAAACCUUACCACUCCUUGACAUGGAGGCUAUCUCCUUCUUAACAGAAGGAUUCAGUUCGGCUGGGCCUCACACAGGUGUUGCAUGGCUGUCGUCAGCUCGUGUCGUGAGAUGUUGGGUUCAGUCCCAUAACGAGCGCAACCCUUAUCCUUUAUUACCAGCAGGUCAGGCUGGGUACUUUAAGGAAACUGCCAAUGAUAAAUUGGAGGAAGGAGAGGACGACGUCAAGUCAUCAUGGCCCUUAUGGGGUGGGCUACACACGUGCUACAAUGGCGAUUACAAUGGGCUGCAAAACUGCAAAGUUGAGCUAAUCCUUAAAAAUCGUCUCAGUUCGGAUUGCUCUCUGUAACUCGAGAGCAUGAAGUUGGAAUCGCUAGUAAUCGUGGAUCAGCACGCCACGGUGAAUACGUUCUCGGGUCUUGUACACACUGCCCGUCAAGCCAUGGAAGUUGGUUUUACUCGAAGCUAGUGUGCUAACCUUUUUAGGAAGCAGCUAUCUAAAGUAGGGCUGAUGACUGGGGUUAAGUCGUAACAAGGUAACCAA